CACGUAGGGCGCAAGCGUUGUCCGGAAUUAUUGGGCGUAAAGAGCGUGUAGGCGGCCAGAUAAGUCCGCUGUGAAAUCUCGAGGCUCAACUUCGAGCUGUCGGUGGAAACUAUCUGGCUAGAGUCCGGAAGAGGAGAAUGGAAUUCCUGGUGUAGCGGUGAAAUGCGCAGAUAUCAGGAAGAACACCCGUGGCGAAGGCGGUUCUCUGGGACGGUACUGACGCUGAGACGCGAAAGCGUGGGGAGCGAACAGG
rnacentral:rRNA from 1 species